UACAGAGGUCUCAAGCGUUGUUCGGAUUCAUUGGGCGUAAAGGGUGUGUAGGUGGCGCCGUAAGUCGGGUGUGAAAUUUCGGAGCUUAACUCCGAAACUGCAUUCGAUACUGCCGUGCUUGAGGACUGGAGAGGAGACUGGAAUUUACGGUGUAGCGGUGAAAUGCGUAGAUAUCGUAAGGAAGACCAGUGGCGAAGGCGGGUCUCUGGACAGUUCCUGACGCUGAGGCACGAAGGCCAGGGGAGCAAACAGG
rnacentral:rRNA from 1 species